UGAAUACGAGACGCUAAGGCGUCGAAGUAGUGUAUGUCAUACUUCCAAGAAAAGCUUGCACUGUCAUAGAUAAAAAACGCCUGUACCAUAACCGACACAGGUGGGUAGGUAGAGUAUACUAAGGGGCGCGAGAUAACUCUCUCUAAGGAACUCGGCAAAAUAACUCCGUAACUUCGGGAGAAGGAGUGCCUUAUUCGUAAGGUUGCAAUAACAAGAUCCAAGCAACUGUUUAUCAAAAACACAGGUCUCCGCUAAGUCGUAAGACGAUGUAUGGGGGCUGACGCCUGCCCAGUGCCAGAAGGUUAAAGAAGUUGGUUAGCAAUUGCGAAGCUGAUAACUGAAGCCCUGGUGAACGGCGGCCGUAACAAUAACGGUCCUAAGGUAGCGAAAUUCCUUGUCGGGUAAGUUCCGACCCGCACGAAAGGCGUAAUGAUUUGGAUACUGUCUCGGAGAGGGGCUCGGUGAAAUAGACUUGUCUGUGAAGAUGCGGACUACCUGCACCAGGACAGAAAGACCCUAUGAAGCUUUACUGUAACUUGAAAUUGAAAUUGGACUUUAUUCGCGCAGUAUAGGUGGGAGGCGUUGAUUAUAAUCUUGUGGGAUUAUUGGAGCCAUCAGUGAGAUACCACUCUUGUAAUGUUAGAUUUCUAACUUUGAAUCAUUAUCUGGUCAAAGAACAGUUUCAGGCGGGCAGUUUGACUGGGGCGGUCGCCUCCUAAACGGUAACGGAGGCGUACAAAGGUUUCCUCUGAACGGUUAGAAAUCGUAUCUAGAGUGUAAAGGCAUAAGGAAGCUUGACUGUGAGACCUACAAGUCGAGCAGGGACGAAAGUCGGUCUUAGUGAUCUGACGGUACUGAGUGGAAAGGCCGUCACUCAACGGAUAAAAGUUACUCUAAGGAUAACAGGCUGAUCUCCCCCAAGAGUUCACAUCGACGGGGAGGUUUGGCACCUCGAUGUCGGCUCAUCGCAUCCUGGGGCGGUAGUACGUCCCAAGGGUUGGGCUGUUCGCCCAUGAAAGCGGUACGCGAGCUGGGUUCAGAACGUCGUGAGACAGUUCGGUCCAUAUCCGGUGUAGGCGUUAGAAUAUUGAGAGGAGCCUUCUUUAGUACGAGAGGACCGAGAAGGACAUACCUCUGGUGUACCAGUUAUCGUGCCAACGGUAAACGCUGGGUAGCUAUGUAUGGAGUGGAUAACCGCUGAAAGCAUCUAAGUGGGAAGCCCACCUCAAGAUAAGUAUUCUCA
rnacentral:rRNA from 1 species